GACGAACGCUGGCGGCGUGCUUAACACAUGCAAGUCGAACGAAGAGCGAUGGAAGCUUGCUUCUAUCACUCUUAGUGGCGAACGGGUGAGUAACGCGUAAUCAACCUGCCCUUCAGAGGGGGACAACAGUUGGAAACGACUGCUAAUACCGCAUACGAUCUAAUCUCGGCAUCGAGGAUAGAUGAAAGGUGGCCUCUACAUGUAAGCUAUCACUGAAGGAGGGGAUUGCGUCGGAUUAGCUAGCUGGAGGGGUAACGGCCCACCCAGGCGAUGAUCAGUAGCCGGUCUGAGAGGAUGGACGGCCACAUUGGGACUGAGACAUGGCCCAGGCUCCUACGGGAGGCAGCAGUGGGGAAUCUUCCGCAAUGGACGAAAGUCUGACGGAGCAACGCCGCGUGAGCGAUGACGGCCUUCGGGUUGUAAAGCUCUGUUAAUCGGGACGAAAGGCCUUCUUGCGAAUAGUGAGAAGGAUUGACGGUACCGGAAUAGAAAGCCACGGCUAACUACGUG
rnacentral:rRNA from 1 species